rnacentral:rRNA from 1 species
GAUGAACGCUGGCGGCGUGCUUAACACAUGCAAGUCGAACGGAGUGCCUUUGAAAGAGGAUUCGUCCAAUUGAUAAGGUUACUUAGUGGCGGACGGGUGAGUAACGCGUGAGGAACCUGCCUUGGAGUGGGGAAUAACACAGUGAAAAUUGUGCUAAUACCGCAUAACCCGAUAGGAUCGCAUGAUCCAGACGGAAAAGAUUUAUCGGUGUGAGAUGGACCCGCGUCUGAUUAGCUAGUUGGUGAGGUAACGGCCCACCAAGGCGACGAUCAGUAGCCGGCCUGAGAGGGUGAACGGCCACAUUGGGACUGAGACCACGGCCCAA